UACGAAGGGUGCAAGCGUUACUCGGAAUUACUGGGCGUAAAGCGUGCGUAGGUGGUUUGUUAAGUCUGAUGUGAAAGCCCUGGGCUCAACCUGGGAAUUGCAUUGGAUACUGGCAGGCUAGAGUGCGGUAGAGGAUGGCGGAAUUCCCGGUGUAGCAGUGAAAUGCGUAGAGAUCGGGAGGAACAUCUGUGGCGAAGGCGGCCAUCUGGAUCAACACUGACGCUGAGGCACGAAAGCGUGGGGAGCAAACAGG
rnacentral:rRNA from 1 species